CCUACGGGCGGCAGCAGUGAGGAAUAUUGGUAAAUGGACGAGAGUCUGAACCAGCCAAGUAGCGUGAAGGAUGACUGCCCUAUGGGUUGUAAACUUCUUUUAUAUGGGAAUAAAAUGUUCCACGUGUGGGAUUUUGUAUGUACCCUAUGAAUAAGGAUCGGCUAACUCCGUGCCAGCAGCCGCGGUAAUACGGAGGAUCCGAGCGUUAUCCGGAUUUAUUGGGGUUAAAGGGAGCGUAGGUGGAUUGUUAAGUCAGUUGUGAAAGUUUGCGGCUCAACCGUAAAAUUGCAGUUGAAACUGGCAGUCUGGAGUACAGUAGAGGUGGGCGGAAUUCGUGGUGUAGCGGUGAAAUGCUUAGAUAUCACGAAGAACUCCGAUUGCGAAGGCAGCUCACUGGACUGCAACUGACACUGAGGCUCGAAAGUGUGGGUAUCAAACAGGAUGAGAUACCCGUGUAGUC
rnacentral:rRNA from 1 species